rnacentral:rRNA from 1 species
AUUGAACGCUGGCGGCAUGCCUUACACAUGCAAGUCGAACGGCAGCGCGGGAGCAAUCCUGGCGGCGAGUGGCGAACGGGUGAGUAAUACAUCGGAACGUGCCCAAUCGUGGGGGAUAACGCAGCGAAAGCUGUGCUAAUACCGCAUACGAUCUACGGAUGAAAGCAGGGGAUCGCAAGACCUUGCGCGAAUGGAGCGGCCGAUGGCAGAUUAGGUAGUUGGUGAGGUAAAGGCUCACCAAGCCUUCGAUCUGUAGCUGGUCUGAGAGGACGACCAGCCACACUGGGACUGAGACACGGCCCAGACUCCUACGGGAGGCAGCAGUGGGGAAUUUUGGACAAUGGGCGAAAGCCUGAUCCAGCCAUGCCGCGUGCAGGAUGAGGGCCUUCGGGUUGUAAACUGCUUUUGUACGGAACGAAACGGUCUUUUCUAAUAAAGAAGGCUAAUGACGGUACCGUAAGAAUAAGCACCGGCUAACUACGUG